GCCGGGCAUGGUGGCUCAUGCCUGUAAUCCCAGCACUUUGGGAGGCUGAGGUGGGUGGAUCAUCUGAGGUCAGGAGUUUGACACCAGCCUGGCCAACAUGGUGAAUCCCCAUCUCUA
ensembl:misc_RNA Metazoa_SRP Metazoan signal recognition particle RNA